AUGUCUUUCUACGGAAUCGCAGGCCUAUUCAUUAGCUCCUACUUGUGGUGUACUAUUUUGUGGAAUGUAGGUAGUGGUUAUGACCGAUUCGAUAGAAAAGAGGGAAUAGUGUGCAUUUUUCGUUGGGGAUUCCCUGGAAUAAAACGUCGCGUCUUCCUUCGAUUCCUUAUGCGGGAUAUCCAAUCAAUUAGAAUUCAGGUUAAAGAGGGUCUUUAUCCUCGUCGUAUUCUUUAUAUGGAAAUCCGGGGCCAGGGGAUCAUUCCCUUGACUCGUACUGAUGAUAAAUUUUUUACUCCACGAGAAAUUGAACAAAAAGCUGCCGAAUUGGCCUAUUUCUUGCGCGUACCAAUUGAAGUAUUUUUUUUGAACUGA
rnacentral:rRNA from 1 species